UACAUGAAGAAUAAUGAUACAUAUACACGCCCUUGUCAUUCUUCUUGCCCGGUGUUUAUCACUACUGGACGGAGAACUGAUAAGGGCAUGUGUUGUGUCUCAUCUACUGGAGAAGAA
rnacentral:pre_miRNA from 12 species